AGAGUUUGAUCAUGGCUCAGGACGAACGCUGACGGUGUGCUUUAGGCAUGCAAGUCGAACGAGAAAGCCCUUCGGGGUGAGUAAAGUGGCGAACGGGUGAGUAACACGUGGGCAACCUGCCCCUCGCAGGGGGACAACCGGAGGAAACUCCGGCUAAUACCUCGUACGCUUGUUGGAUCGCAUGGUCCGGCAAGGAAAGGUAGCUUCGGCCAUCCGGCGAGGGAUGGGCCCGCGUUGCAUUAGCUAGUUGGUGGGGUAACGGCCUACCAAGGCGACGAUGCGUAGCUGGUCUGAGAGGAUGAUCAGCCACACUGGGACUGAGACACGGCCCAGACUCCUACGGGAGGCAGCAGCCAGGAAUCUUGGGCAAUGGGCGAAAGCCUGACCCAGCAACACCGUGUGGGCGAUGAAGGCCUUAGGGUCGUAAAGCCCUGUUGAUAGGGACGAAGGGCGAAGGGUUAAUAGCCCCUAGCUUGACGGUACCUUUCGAGGAAGCCCCGGCUAACUACGUGCCAGCAGCCGCGGUAAUACGUAGGGGGCGAGCGUUGUCCGGAAUUAUUGGGCGUAAAGAGCGUGUAGGCGGUUCGGUAAGUCUGCUGUGAAAUCCUGGGGCUCAACCCCGGGCGUGCAGCGGAUACUGCCGGGCUAGAGGGUGGUAGAGGCGAGUGGAAUUCCGAGUGUAGCGGUGAAAUGCGCAGAUAUUCGGAGGAACACCAGUAGCGAAGGCGGCUCGCUGGGCCACACCUGACGCUGAGACGCGAAAGCGUGGGGAGCGAACAGGAUUAGAUACCCCAGUAGUCC
rnacentral:rRNA from 1 species